GGGGAUGUAGCUCAGUGGCACAGCAUCUGCCUGAGAAGCACAGGGUCCUGAGUUCGAUUUUCAGUACCA
rnacentral:tRNA from 1 species